GAUGAUUCAACGUGUGUUCCUCUUGGAGAAAACAAGGACUACAUCAAUGCUAGUUAUAUUAAAAUAGUCAAUUCUGGAGAAGUAUUAUUAUUAUUGCUACCCAAGGACCACUGCCAACUACCACAAAUGACUUUUGGCGAAUAGUUUUGGAAAAUAAUUCUAAUGUUAUUGUCAUGAUAACCAGAGAGGUAGAAGGUGGAGUUAUCAAAUGCCACCAUUACUGGCCUGUUGCUGUGAAGAAACUUUUGGAACUGAAAAAUUGUCAUAUCUUCCUGGAGAACUACCAGAUACUUCAAUAUUUCAUCAUUCGAAUAUUUCAAGUUGUCAAGAAGUCCACAGGAGCUAGUCACUUUGUAAAACACUUGCAGUUCACCAAGUGGCCAGACCAUGGCACUCCUGCCUCAGCAGAAGGUUUUAUAAAGUAUGUUCGUUUUGUGAGGAAGAGCCACCUUACAGGACCCAUCAUUGUUCACUGCAGUGCUGGCAUGGGCCGGACAGGGGUGUUCCUAUGUGUGGAUGUUGUGUUCCGUGCUGUUGAAAAGAACUUUUCAUUCAACAUCAUGAAUAUAGUGGGCCAAAUGAGAGAACAACGUUAUGGAAUGAUCCAAACAAGGAGCAGUAUAUCCUUUGUUAUAAAAUUGUGCUUGAAGUUCUUCAGAAGCUUCUGACUUUAAAGUAAGAAAGAAUUCUGUUGCUUCACACUUGAAAUUACCAAGUG